AGGGUUCGAUUCUGGCUCAGGAUGAACGCUGGCGGCGUGCUUAACACAUGCAAGUCGAACGAACCUUCGGGUUAGUGGCGGACGGGUGAGUAACGCGUGAGAAUCUGCCCUCAGGAGGGGGAUAACGGUUGGAAACGACCGCUAAUACCCCAUAUGCCGAUAGGUGAAAUGAAUUUCGCCUGAGGAUGAGCUCGCGUCUGAUUAGCUUGUUGGUGAGGUAAUGGCUCACCAAGGCUUCGAUCAGUAGCUGGUCUGAGAGGAUGAUCAGCCACACUGGGACUGAGGCACGGCCCAGACUCCUACGGGAGGCAGCAGUGGGGAAUUUUCCGCAAUGGGCGAAAGCCUGACGGAGCAACGCCGCGUGAGGGACGAAGGCCUCUGGGCUGUAAACCUCUUUUCUCAAGGAAGAAGAUAUGACGGUACUUGAGGAAUAAGCCACGGCUAAUUCCGUGCCAGCAGCCGCGGUAAUAC
rnacentral:rRNA from 1 species